GCCCGUGUGGUCUAGUGGUUAUGACGGUCGCCUCACAACAAUACUUGUACAGAGUAUUAUCGCGACAGGUCCCAGGUUCGACCCCUGGCGUGGGCA